rnacentral:rRNA from 1 species
AGGAUGAACGCUAGCGGCAGGCCUAAUACAUGCAAGUCGAACGAGAUCAGAGGCUUCGGUUUCUGGUUUAGUGGCGCACGGGUGCGUAACACGUAUGCAACCUACCUUUUCCUGGGGGAUAGCCCGUCGAAAGACGGAUUAAUACCGCAUAACAUAACUGACCUGGCAUCGGGUUGUUAUC